rnacentral:rRNA from 1 species
GACAGAGGAUGCAAGCGUUAUCCGGAAUGAUUGGGCGUAAAGCGUCUGUAGGUGGCUUUUAAGUCCGCCGUCAAAUCCCAGGGCUCAACCCUGGACAGGCGGUGGAAACUACCAGGCUGGAGUACGGUAGGGGCAGAGGGAAUUUCCGGUGGAACGGUGAAAUGCGUAGAGAUCGGAAAGAACACCAACGGCGAAAGCAACUCUGCUGGGCCGACACUGACACUGGAGAGACGAAAGCUAGGGGAGCGAAUGGG